AUGGCUUCUGGAUUUCGUAGCCCCCCGUCGGUCUCGUCGGCGUUCCCGCGGGAGCGUCCUAUCGUCUCGGGGUUGGGGCUGUCGGAGUCGCCUGGCUUGGCGCGCUCCUCUUCGGCUGCUGGUAGUCAGGCUGUUGGCCCCGCGCCGGCGCAAGCGGAGGUCUGGCGCCGGCCGGGCCCCUCCCGCAAGGCCAUGUGGCGGCGUCAUCGUGCUCUCAGGAGGCAGUUCGGGGCUGGUGUUGGGCCCGGCCGCGAUGCGUCGCCGUCCUCCUCAGAGCGGCGCCAAAUCCCGCCGGACUUGUACGGCCUAUGCUUCAGGUGUUUCGAGGACGGUCACCGGCGUCAAGACUGCACUAACGAGCCUUUGUGCAUCCGCUGCGGCCACGCUGGGCAUGUCUCCUCUCAGUGCCUGGAGCCGCGCAGUCCCAUCUCUGCGGAGGAGUUGCGCUGUGCGGUGAUUGCCAAGGUCGCUCGCAGGUCGGAGGCACCCGGACAGGCACCGGCCAUUCGGCGGAGGUUGUCGGAGCCUAGGCAGAGCGCGCCGGUGGCGCCGCUCUUGCCAGUUGCGCCCAACCUCCACCCUGUGCUGCCGGGAGCGGCCUUGCUGGUGGUACUGUCCGACAUCUGUGUGCUGCCGCGCUCGGAGGGGUUGGACGACCUCGAGCGCCGGUUACAGCUGGCGGUGGUGAUGUACGUUGGCGGGGCAAGGCCGGCCGUGUCCUGCGACGACGCAGCGGUCGCGAUUUCGGCACAGUUGGGGAUCCCAAGGUUUCGUUUUUCUGUCCACAAGUUCCACCCGGAAGAUUUCUUGGUCGUGUUCGCGGCGCAUGAGUUCAGGAACAGGGCACUGGCUCUCCCAGCAAUUGAGCAUCUCGGAGUCAAGUUCUUCAUCAAGCCAUGGCUCAGGCAGGCGCAGGCGGCAUCGAGGCUAAUGCGGGUGCAGGUGGAUGUCAUGAUCGAGGAUGUCCCGUCCCAUGCGUGGGCUCAAGAGACGGCGGCAGAGCUACUUGGGAGUGCAUGCUUGAUCGAUAGCCUGGCACCGGAGACGGCCAGCAGGGAGGACUUGUCGCUGUUCAAGUUGAGGGCUUGGUGUGUGGAUCCUGAGGAGGUGCCGGUGUUUCGGAGGCUGUGGGUGCCAGAGCAGCCGGAGGUGGUCUCUGACCUGGCGGCGAGGCGAGCUUCGUUCCGCCAGCUCUUGGAGUAUCCGGUGUUCAUUCACGUCGGCAGGUUGAGGGAUUUCUCGCCGCCGGAGAUGUGGAGAUGUGCAUCAGGAUCUGACGGCAGGAGUGGGCAGAGUGGUUUGCCGGACAGCUCGAACGGUUCGUUCCAAGGAGGUGAUUGGGUGGUCCAGCCAUGGGCACGCGGCGUUCGCGAUGAGCGUGGUGCCGGCCGGCGGUACAACAACGACGGUGGUGGCGGGACGCACGUCAGAUCAUACCGGGUGGCGCUGGAAGGAAGGGUGGGGCCCUCUGCUUGGAGGCUUCCACCAAUCGGACCGGGUUCGUUGACGGUCAAGCCUGCUGCGGUGUUGCAGAGUCACGGGACUGUGGUGGGACAGGGUCUUUCAAAUGAGCCAAUCCAAAUGAGGGAAGUGCUGCCCACAGUGGUGGAGACAGCUGGAGAGUUGGCAUUGGCGGCACAGACCAGCCCUGCUAGGGAACGACCUGUGGAGCAGGCGCAGGUGACGACAUGCUUGGGAUCCGAAGUGGUCAGGCAGGAGGAUGCUAGGACCGAGGCUGUGGUGGAGCCUUUGGUGGUGGCCAACGAGAGGGCCGCAGAUGUGGACAAGGACGUGGGGGCUAAUCCCAGACCGAUCGGGGUGGGGCCUCUGCAACCCGAUCAGACCAUGCCAAUCGAUGCGGAGGUGGGAGUGGGGGCCGAUCCAAAGCAGACCGUGGUGGAGCCACAGUUGGACCAGGCGGUUUCUUUUGCCGCGGAGGAUCCGGUGCGGCUUGUCGGGCCAGGUGCUGCAGAAGAUUCGUCCAGGGGCGGGCAGGGACCGGUGCAGGAAAUCCCAGCAUCCGAAGAUGCCCCGGCGCUGCUUUUGGAAGGAUGGGCCCCAGUUUCGGAGUUGAUUGGCGACGCUGCUCGGGAGCUGCACCUAUCUCAUCUCGGGCCAGGAUCCACCCCGGAGCUCGCGCAGGGGGACCAGGUCUCUCUGGCAGCCAGGGAUGCAUGUGAUGGGACUACGUCGGAGGGCCAUGCAGAUAACGUUUUUUUGCAUGGUGGAGAGCUAGUUGUGCAUGAGGAUGCCCGGGAUGUGCACGCCAUGGAGGAUAGCCUGUCUGCCAAGGAGAGGGCAGCACUUGGCAACAUCAAAUCCUUUUGCGCCGGGCUUCUGAAGAAACUAGCUCCUCCACUCCUGAAGGAGAUAGAAAGCGUAUAA
rnacentral:rRNA from 1 species